UUCUAAUCGUUCCAUUUUCUUGCCCGCAGUGAAAAGUUGGCCAAAGUCGGCCAUUAGAGUAUAGAACGGGCCGUGCGAAAAGUGAAUUUACUCCCCUGGUUUCCAUGUUGGCCGUGGUCGGUUCUGACGGCCGAUAGUCAUCGAGCAGAACAAAGUGCCGGGUACCAAUCGAUACGGAAUCAAGGCCUGCUUUGGCGUCGUUGGCUUGAAGAAACGUAAAGUAAUCCUGGUGUGCGUGUGUGCCGACGAAGGAGUUCCCGGGAGGCACUACUAGUGGCAGCAGUCGUGUUAAAGGUUCACCGUCGGAUCUAGUGUUGAAGACGCUCCGAAACACGACACGGCGGGUGGAUUUAAACAGCAGGAGUCGGACGAUGGCCAAACUUCUGCUGGUCGCCAUUCAAGGAAGGAUUCGGCCGCUGCGCUGUUCAGCGUUAUCUACGACCGCUAAGCGAUGGUAAAAGAAAAAUCUUCGAUCAAAUGUCCAUUCGAUGAAAUGCUGGUUGUAUCGAACACGAAUGGCCCGAUAAACAGGUAUAGGUAGCAGUGACCGGGUCUAUUUACGUUGCACUUCGAUAUGACGCCAUUAGAAGUGGCCACCCAGGCGAUGCGAUGAUGGUGAUGAUGCCCCGAUGGGAAUCGUUUGGAACUAAGGCAUAUGCUAACGACUGAUGGAAUCGAUCCCUGACGAGCGAAGGUAGAGGUGUAAUCUUACAAGCGAAAGCAAACACCCAUCGGCAUAAGAAGUUGUUAGUGAUGACCUGUGUGAGGCGAAUGAAGGAAGUGGAGUGUGGAAAACAGGUGGAAAACUUUUCCCAAAGCAAAUAACGAGUUUCAUUAGAUCAGAGUCUCGGUUCCAUGGGCAGGCUACAGGACUUUAUCGGUUGAAGAAGAGAAAACUUGUAGUCUGUUGAUUGAUACCAAUUUAAUCGGAUUCCAGUUUGUGUUUGUGAUGAGGGCGAAAUGGAGAAGAGUAUUUUUGUAAGCAAUAUGUGAGAAAUGUAUUUGAUUAGAUAAAUUACAAGUUCUACACAGAUCA